rnacentral:rRNA from 1 species
UACGGGGGGGGCAAGCGUUGUUCGGAAUUACUGGGCGUAAAGGGCUCGUAGGCGGCCAACUAAGUCGGAUGUGAAAUCCCCAGGCUUAACCUGGGAACUGCAUCCGAUACUGGAUGGCUUGAAUCCGGGAGAGGGAUGCAGAAUUCCACGUGUAGCAGUGAAAUGCGUAGAGAUGUGGAGGAACACCGAUGGCGAAGGCAGCCCCCUGGGUCAAGAUUGACGCUCAUGCACGAAAGCGUGGGGAGCAAACAGG